UGCAGAAUCCCGUGAACCAUCGAGUUUUUGAACGCAAGUUGCGCCCGAUGCCAUUAGGUUGAGGGCACGUCUGCCUGGGUGUCA
rnacentral:rRNA from 5 species